rnacentral:rRNA from 1 species
UAUACUGCAAGUCGAGCGGACAGAAGGGAGCUUGCUCCCGGAUGUUAGCGGCGGACGGGUGAGUAACACGUGGGUAACCUGCCUGUAAGACUGGGAUAACUCCGGGAAACCGGAGCUAAUACCGGAUAGUUCCUUGAACCGCAUGGUUCAAGGAUGAAAGACGGUUUCGGCUGUCACUUACAGAUGGACCCGCGGCGCAUUAGCUAGUUGGUGGGGUAAUGGCUCACCAAGGCGACGAUGCGUAGCCGACCUGAGAGGGUGAUCGGCCACACUGGGACUGAGACACGGCCCAGACUCCUACGGGAGGCAGCAGUAGGGAAUCUUCCGCAAUGGACGAAAGUCUGACGGAGCAACGCCGCGUGAGUGAUGAAGGUUUUCGGAUCGUAAAGCUCUGUUGUUAGGGAAGAACAAGUGCGAGAGUAACUGCUCGCACCUUGACGGUACCUAACCAGAAAGCCACGGCUAACUACGUGCCAGCAGCCGCGGUAAUACGUAGGUGGCAAGCGUUGUCCGGAAUUAUUGGGCGUAAAGGGCUCGCAGGCGGUUUCUUAAGUCUGAUGUGAAAGCCCCCGGCUCAACCGGGGAGGGUCAUUGGAAACUGGGAAACUUGAGUGCAGAAGAGGAGAGUGGAAUUCCACGUGUAGCGGUGAAAUGCGUAGAGAUGUGGAGGAACACCAGUGGCGAAGGCGACUCUCUGGUCUGUAACUGACGCUGAGGAGCGAAAGCGUGGGGAGCGAACAGGAUUAGAUACCCUGGUAGUCCACGCCGUAAACGAUGAGUGCUAAGUGUUAAGGGGGUUUCCGCCCCUUAGUGCUGCAGCUAACGCAUUAAGCACUCCGCCUGGGGAGUACGGUCGCAAGACUGAAACUCAAAGGAAUUGACGGGGGCCCGCACAAGCGGUGGAGCAUGUGGUUUAAUUCGAAGCAACGCGAAGAACCUUACCAGGUCUUGACAUCCUCUGACAACCCUAGAGAUAGGGCUUUCCCUUCGGGGACAGAGUGACAGGUGGUGCAUGGUUGUCGUCAGCUCGUGUCGUGAGAUGUUGGGUUAAGUCCCGCAACGAGCGCAACCCUUGAUCUUAGUUGCCAGCAUUCAGUUGGGCACUCUAAGGUGACUGCCGGUGACAAACCGGAAGAAA